rnacentral:rRNA from 1 species
UAAGGAAUAUUGGUCAAUGGAGGCAACUCUGAACCAGCCAUGCCGCGUGGAGGAUGAAGGUCCUCUGGAUUGUAAACUUCUUUUAUAUGGGACGAAAAAAGGCUUUUCUAAGUCGUCUGACGGUACCAUAUGAAUAAGCACCGGCUAACUCCGUGCCAGCAGCCCCCGGGUUAAUACAAA